rnacentral:lncRNA from 1 species
CUAGUUAUCUUGCUAUCGUUUACCGCUGCGUAUUUUGAAUAUUGCUUAUUGUUAUUGAAUUUUGUUGUUAGGUGAACCUCUCGCUUUAGAUUGUUUGGGUUGGGAUAGUGAGGGGUUGUAUUUGUUAGUUGGGGAUUGUAACUCGCUGAGUAACAUUAGGUUACUCAUCCAACUCCGUUGUCCUUUUUGCAGGUCGGUUUAGGUAAGGAUGAUCGGAUAGCUUGGUGUUGGACGUUAGGACCGCCGGAGUAGAUUUCAUGCCUUUUGUAAACGGUAUUGCGUUAUGUGUUUUGUUGGCUCGAUUUGGCAUUAGGCCGGGCCCAGUCUUGAAUUAUUUCAAUAUAUGGAUAUUUCUUGAAUCAAUAAAGUAAUUGUUUUAUAUGCGCUUCAUGAGUACUCUGAUAUUUGACUAGUCCAGUCUAACACAACG